AUUGAACGCUGGCGGCAUGCCUUACACAUGCAAGUCGAACGGCAGCACGGGUGCUUGCACCUGGUGGCGAGUGGCGAACGGGUGAGUAAUACAUCGGAACAUGUCCUGUAGUGGGGGAUAGCCCGGCGAAAGCCGGAUUAAUACCGCAUACGAUCCACGGAUGAAAGCGGGGGCCUUUCGGCCCCCCGGCUAAGGGGUGGCCGAUGGCUGAUUAGCUAGUUGGUGGGGUAAAGGCCUACCAAGGCGACGAUCAGUAGCUGGUCUGAGAGGACGACCAGCCACACUGGGACUGAGACACGGCCCAGACUCCUACGGGAGGCAGCAGUGGGGAAUUUUGGACAAUGGGCGAAAGCCUGAUCCAGCAAUGCCGCGUGUGUGAAGAAGGACUUCGGGUUGUAAAGCACUUUUGUCCGGAAAGAAAUCCUUGACUCUAAUACAGUCGGGGGAUGACGGUACCGGAAGAAUAAGCACCGGCUAACUACGUG
rnacentral:rRNA from 1 species